rnacentral:rRNA from 1 species
AUUGAACGCUGGCGGCAGGCCUAACACAUGCAAGUCGAACGAGUGGCGGACGGGAGAGGAAUGUCUGGGACACUGCCUGCUGGAGGGGGAUAACUUCUGGAACCGGUAGCUAAUACGGCAUACCAUCAGAUGUGCCCCGAUGGGAUUAGCUAGUUGGUGGGGUAAAGGCUCACCAAGGCGACGAUCCCUAGCGGGUCUGAGAGGAGGACGAGCCACACUGGAACUGGGACACGGUCCAGACUCAUACGGGAGGCAGCAGUGGGGAAUAUUGCACAAUGGGCGAAAGCCUGAUGCAGCCAUGCCGCGUGUAUGAAGAAGGCCUUCGGGUUGUAAAGUACUUUCAGCGGGGAGGCGUUAGCCGCAGAAGAAGCACCGGCUAACUCCGUGCCAGCAGCCGCGGUAAUUC